CCGUGACCACCUCCUGACCCCUGCUCGCACCCAUACGGCCAACUCGCGCUUGCAGGAUCUCUCACGGGCGGCUCCUCUCCUAUGGAAUAGCUUGCCUACUGCCAUCAGACUCUCCCCUAGUCUUCAAUCAUUUAAGAAGGGCCCUAAAACCCAUCUCUUCAGGAACGCGUAUGGCCUCCCAGAGUAAUCUCUACCUGUCUCCUGCUCUCUCCUAUGGGACAGUGCUUUACUCUCUCCUCCAGCUCUGCUUCACUCCUACUUGAUAUUUUCUGUCCUAAUGUUUCUAAUACCCC